rnacentral:rRNA from 1 species
UACGAAGGGUGCAAGCGUUACUCGGAAUUACUGGGCGUAAAGCGUGCGUAGGUGGUGAGUUAAGUCUGUCGUGAAAGCCCCGGGCUCAACCUGGGAAUGGCGAUGGAUACUGGCUCGCUAGAGUGCGGUAGAGGAGUCUGGAAUUCCCGGUGUAGCGGUGAAAUGUGUAGAGAUCGGGAGGAACACCGGUGGCGAAGGCGGGACUCUGGGCCUACCCUGACGCUGAGGCGCGAAGGCGUGGGUAGCAAACAGG